UACGGAAGGCAGCAGUGGGGAAUAUUGCACAAUGGGCGCAAGCCUGAUGCAGCCAUGCCGCGUGUAUGAAGAAGGCCUUCGGGUUGUAAAGUACUUUCAGUCGUGAGGAAGGUGUUAAGGUUAAUAACCUUAGCAAUUGACGUUAGCGACAGAAGAAGCACCGGCUAACUCCGUGCCAGCAGCCGCGGUAAUACGGAGGGUGCGAGCGUUAAUCGGAAUUACUGGGCGUAAAGGGCACGCAGGCGGUUAAUUAAGUUGGAUGUGAAAUCCCCGGGCUUAACCUGGGAAUGGCAUUCAAGACUGGUUAGCUAGAGUCUUGUAGAGGGGGUAGAAUUCCAUGUGUAGCGGUGAAAUGCGUAGAGAUGUGGAGGAAUACCGGUGGCGAAGGCGGCCCCCGGACAAAGACCUGACGCUCAUGUGCGAAAGCGUGGGGAGCAAACAGGGAUUAGAUACC
rnacentral:rRNA from 1 species